GGGAACUACCCAUCUUGCAAGAGGGAGUUUCCAAUAUGGAAUAUAAAAAGUCGACCGAUGUUCAGCUUCAAAAAGAGUCCCAUAAACAGCCUUAAUCACAGGGGAUUCCUUAGAGAUAGAUCCAAAGUCAUAGUUGAAGACACCCAGCCCGAUAAUAUCAAGUGCCAGAUUAGAAAAUUCUGCUUCCAGGUCCAUCUCAAGUUCCU
rnacentral:misc_RNA from 1 species